UUCUGGGAAGAGGGAAUCGUUACGUGCAGGAAGAGGGAGCCUCCAUCUUAGGUGCUCGACGCGUCGCGGCGGCGGCGGCGGGAUGGCGGCUGAUAGCCGGGAGGAAAAAGGUGAGUUAAAUUUGUUCAUGGAAGGAUCCAACACACCCCAGAGUCAACAAAAGAUGAGUUGCAGGAGAGCCCAGUUGGGAGUGUCUGUAACGAAAAGGACUCAUUUGGACCUUCCCCCUUCAGCAGUGAUGAACUAUGGUGAACUGAAUGUUCUGGAUGACAUUUUGACUGAUGCUCCUGACCAAGAUGAUGAGUUGUAUAACCCUGACAGCGAGCAAGAUAAAAGUGAGAAAAAGGGAUCAAAAAGAAAAACUGACAGGAUGGAAAACGCUGAAAGCAAGAGACAAAAACCUUCUGUGCAUUCAUCGAGGCAGAUGAUGCCAAAGCCUCCUAGUUCAUCAGUUAGCAAUAACAAGAGAAUAGUGAGUACAAAAGGAAAACCAGUAUCAGAAUACAAGAAUGAGGAGUAUCAGAGGUCGGAUAGAAACAAGCGCCCAGAUGGUGAUCGAAAGACACGCAUGUCCAGCAGUUCCAGGGAACCUUAUAAAGGACAACCAGAGAAAACUUGCAUGAGGAAGAGGGAUAUUGACAGAAGGGCAAAGUCUUCUACACCAGAUGGCUCAGAGAGAAUCAGGCAUGAUGUGGAUAGAAGACCAAGCAGAUCCAGCCAUUCUUCUAAAGAAGAGGUGAACUCUGAGGAAUAUUGUUCAGAUCAUGAGACUGGCAGUAGUGGUUCCUCUGAACAAGGGAAUACAGAGAAUGAGGAGGAAGGAAUGGAAGAAGAGGAAGAUGAUGAAGGAGAGGAGGAUGAAGAGGGGGAAGAAGAUGGGGAGGAGGAUGAAGAAGAGUAUGAACAAGAUGAGAGAGAUCAGAAGGAAGGAAAUGAUUAUGACACACGAAGUGAAGCCAGUGAUUCUGAUUCUGAAUCCGCCUCUUUCACAGAUGGGUCAGUCAGAUCUGGGUCUGGUUCAGAUGCAUCAGAUGAAAAAAAGAAGGAGAGGAAGCGAGCUAGAGGUAUCUCUCCAAUUGUUUUUGACAGAAGUGGAAGUUCUGCAUCAGAAUCGUAUGCAGGUUCAGAAAAGAAGCAUGAGAAAUUAUCAUCUUCCGUUCGUGCUGUCCAAAAAGACCAAACAAGUAAACUUAAAUACAUUCUCCAAGAUGCAAGAUUCUUUCUCAUCAAGAGUAAUAACCAUGAAAACGUAUCACUUGCUAAAGCAAAGGGAGUAUGGUCGACACUUCCAGUGAAUGAAAAGAAGCUUAAUGCUGCAUUUAGAUCAGCGAGGAGUGUUAUUUUGAUAUUUUCUGUAAGAGAGAGUGGCAAAUUCCAAGGAUUUGCAAGACUGUCUUCAGAGUCCCAUCAUGGAGGAUCACCUAUACACUGGGUGCUGCCUGCAGGAAUGAAUGCAAAAAUGUUGGGAGGUGUCUUUAAAAUUGACUGGAUUUGCAGGCGUGAAUUGCCGUUCACUAAGUCUGCUCACCUGACCAAUCCUUGGAACGAACAUAAGCCAGUAAAGAUUGGACGCGAUGGACAGGAAAUUGAGCCGGAAUGUGGAACCCAACUUUGUCUUCUCUUCCCUCCUGAUGAAAGUAUUGACUUGUAUCAAGUCAUUCAUAAAAUGAGGCACAAGAGAAGAAUGCACUCACAACCCCGAUCAAGAGGACGGCCAUCCCGUCGAGACCCUGUUCGGGACGUGGGAAGGGUAUAUAAAGGAUCCCAGAUAUCCUGAAGUAGACAGGUAAGGUGUGUUCAUAUUAUUCAUUUUAUGCCCUGGUAACUUGUCUGUAUGGAUAAAUUGGAUUUAGUUCUACAAAUUUUUAUUCCCAACAGACGAUUUUCAGGAGUUCGACGAGAUGUAUUUUUAAAUGGGUCCUACAACGAUUACGUGAGGGAAUUCCACAACAUGGGACCACCACCACCAUGGCAAGGAAUGCCACCAUAUCCAGGUAUGGAGCAGCCACCACACCACCCUUACUAUCAGCACCAUGCACCUCCACCUCAAGCUCACCCUCCAUACUCAGGACAUCAUCCUGUACCACAUGAAGCAAGAUACAGAGACAAACGAGUACACGACUAUGACAUGAGAGUAGACGACUUUCUUCGCCGCACACAAGCAGUUGUCAGCGGUCGGAGAAGCAGGCCUCGGGAGAGGGACCGAGAGCGGGAACGGGACCGUCCUAGAGAUAACAGAAGAGACAGAGAACGUGACAGAGGUCGUGAUCGGGAAAGGGAGAGAGAGAGGAUUUGUGACCGGGACAGAGACAGAGGUGAAAGAGGUAGAUACCGAAGAUAAUCUAUCUGGAACCAGUGCUCACUUGAAACAAAAAAAGCUUGUAUUUUUUUGUGUGUUUACAAGUAGUACAUUUUAUUUUCAGCUGUCUACUUAAAGUUCGUUGUGUAGAAGGAUUUAUAAUGACCCUCUCUAUUCCAAGCAUGCAGUGAACUAUGAACUGGAAAAACUCAAAUCGGCCAAAAAUAAAAUGGCGCAAAGCUGACACUCAACUUCGCGUUUCUAUUGGAGCAGAAUGGGAAACAGCUAAGAAUGUAGAUACUGAUUAAUUCUCAAUAAGUGUUCAUCUACUUAGUGACUUCAUUCUAGGUUUUUGAAUACUGAUGGAUAACUGCCAUAUUUUUUUUUGCUUUGAUGUUUUCUUCCUGUAGUUUCACAUGGUUCAGUGGGAGAAUGCUGCUAUCAAGUAUGCAAAUAUUGAAGUAUGAUUUAUUUGACUGUAUGGCAGUGUUGUAGCAGCCUUUUUUUUUUUUUUUUUUUGUUCUCCCUCCCCUUUUUAAAGCCUAUCUGUAAAGUCAAGUGUUUUUUCAGUCUUCAGUAAUGAAAGCAAUAUUAAGAAGACACUAUUGAUACCUAAUUUUUAACCUUUUUUAAAAAUCUUCCCGUGUUCAGUAACAUUUUGGUCAAUUCUCUUGUCUAGUCUCUUUCCAAAAAUGUACACAUUGCUUGGAAUGUUCACAACCUGCGUGUGUGGAACCAGAGAAUAUUGCUGUAUUCUACAUUGCUACCUUUUUUUUUUUUUUUUUUAUAAAAAUAAAUUGGUAACUAUUGAAAUGA